rnacentral:rRNA from 1 species
UACGUAGGGUCCAAGCGUUUAUCCGGAAUCACUGGGCGUAAAGCGUGCGUAGGUGGCGUGUUAAGUGUGAUGUUAAAUCGUGGGGCUCAACCCUGUCGGUGCAUCACAUACUGGCAUGCUAGAGGACAGCAGAGGCAAGUGGAAUUUGUAGUGUAGCAGUGAAAUGCGUAGAUAUUACAAGGAACACCAAUGGCGAAGGCAGCUUGCUGGGCUACUCCUGACACUGAGGUACGAAAGCGUGGGGAGCGAACAGG